rnacentral:tRNA from 1 species
GCGGGAAUAGCUCAGUUGGUAGAGCACGACCUUGCCAAGGUCGGGGUCGGUCGCGAGUUCGAGUCUCGUUUCCCGCUCCA